rnacentral:rRNA from 1 species
CUUGCAGGGUACUCGGGUGGCGAACGGGUGAGUAACACGUGGGUGAUCUGCCCUGCACUUCGGGAUAAGCUUGGGAAACUGGGUCUAAUACCGGAUAGGAACCAUCUUUAGUGUGGUGGUUGGAAAGUUUUUUCGGUGUAGGAUGAGCUCGCGGCCUAUCAGCUUGUUGGUGGGGUAAUGGCCUACCAAGGCGGCGACGGGUAGCCGGCCUGAGAGGGUGUACGGCCACAUUGGGACUGAGAUACGGCCCAG